AUAAAUAAUUAAAAUACAGGUAAUAAAUUUUCAUUUCUUUCUUUUAUUGAUGUUGAGAGAAACUCUGCGAUUUUGGCAUUGCUUGUGAACGGUUCACUGGUAUAUUGAAAGUGCGUGGCUUGAUGACCUGUUAUUUGCUAAUUCAUUUCAGCUUUAGGACUCGUGUUUUGUUUUUUUACUGGUCAUUGACUCGUGUUACUAUAUUAGGUAUUAGGAAGUGUCAAUAGUCAUCCUAAAAGUCCAUGAGUUGGCCCCAUUUUCAUGCAAUCUUUUGCUGCCAAUGAUGUACACCUAGUACACUCUACCUCAUUCUAAGACCAACAUGAGAUUUGUAUGACUUAUUGAGCAAUCGCAGCGCUUAAAU
rnacentral:misc_RNA from 1 species